AUUGAACGCUGGCGGCAUGCCUUACACAUGCAAGUCGAACGGCAGCACGGGAGCAAUCCUGGUGGCGAGUGGCGAACGGGUGAGUAAUACAUCGGAACGUGCCCAAUCGUGGGGGAUAGCGCAGCGAAAGCUGUGCUAAUACCGCAUACGAUCUACGGAUGAAAGCAGGGGAUCGCAAGACCUUGCGCGAAUGGAGCGGCCGAUGGCAGAUUAGGUAGUUGGUGAGGUAAAGGCUCACCAAGCCGUCGAUCUGUAGCUGGUCUGAGAGGACGACCAGCCACACUGGGACUGAGACACGGCCCAGACUCCUACGGGAGGCAGCAGUGGGGAAUUUUGGACAAUGGGCGAAAGCCUGAUCCAGCCAUGCCGCGUGCAGGAUGAAGGCCUUCGGGUUGUAAACUGCUUUUGUACGGAACGAAACGGCCUUUUCUAAUAAAGAGGGCUAAUGACGGUACCGUAAGAAUAAGCACCGGCUAACUACGUGCCAGCAGCCGCGGUAAUACGUAGGGUGCAAGCGUUAAUCGGAAUUACUGGGCGUAAGGCGUGCGCAGGCGGUUAUGUAAGACAGUUGUGAAAUCCCCGGGCUCAACCUGGGAACUGCAUCUGUGACUGCAUAGCUAGAGUACGGUAGAGGGGGAUGGAAUUCCGCGUGUAGCAGUGAAAUGCGUAGAUAUGCGGAGGAACACCGAUGGCGAAGGCAAUCCCCUGGACCUGUACUGACGCUCAUGCACGAAAGCGUGGGGAGCAAACAGG
rnacentral:rRNA from 1 species